AACGACUUUUAGGAAAAACGGGAAACAGAGAAGAAAAAUCCCAUGAGAAAAAUCUUGUGGGAAUAAGCUGCCCAGGUGGGCAACCGUGCGUUGUGCGCGUGCGUGCGCGCACAACAGGCAUAAAACAUGCACACUUCCCAUCGAAUGUGUCACAGGAUAGGCUUGCACGUGCAUCCUUUCGCACGCAUGCAGGACUUGCCCACGCAUGUCACAUCGCCCAUGGACAAGCAAGUGUCGCACACUAUGCGCGCGUCAUCCGAGCAGCAAGCCUGUGUGCCUAGGGGCUGCGUAUGGCACCUCAACUCACCAAGGCCCUACGUGCGUGCAAGCCAGCACAACGCCUUAAGGCUAGGUCUGCAGCAUGCGUUAGGCGGGUGAGGCCACUGCCACCUCGGGCAGUGUGCCGUUGCCCACCUCGGGUGGAAUGUCACCGCUUGUGGUGCCGCCACCGAUGGAGGAGGUCUUUUUCCUCUAUUUUUCAUGGCAAACAUCUUUUUAUUCUCUCUCCACCAGAUUUCACCACUUGAUG
rnacentral:lncRNA from 1 species